GACGUAGGGCGCGAGCGUUGUCCGGAUUUAUUGGGCGUAAAGAGCUCGUAGGCGGCUUGUCGCGUCGGCUGUGAAAUCCCGUGGCUCAACUGCGGGUCUGCAGCCGAUACGGGCAGGCUAGAGUUCGGUAGGGGAGACUGGAAUUCCUGGUGCAGCGGUGAAAUGCGCAGAUAUCAGGAGGAACACCGGUGGCGAAGGCGGCUUCCUGGACCGACACUGACGCUGAGGCGCGAAAGCUAGGGGAGCAAACGGG
rnacentral:rRNA from 1 species